rnacentral:rRNA from 1 species
GCUUGCUCCUCUGCCGUCAGCGGCGGACGGGUGAGUAACAUCUGGAUAACCUACCUAUAAGACUGGGAUAACUUCGGGAAACCGGAGCUAAUACCGGAUAAUAUAUUGAACCGCAUGGUUCAAUAUUGAAAGACGGUUUUGCUGUCACUUAUACAUGGAUCCGCGCCGCAUUACCUAGUUGGUAAGGUAACGGCUUACCAAGGCAACGAUGCGUAGCCGACCUGAGAGGGUGAUCGGCCACACUGGAACUGAGACACGGUCCAGACUCCUACGGGAGGCAGCAGUAGGGAAUCUUCCGCAAUGGGCGAAAGCCUGACGGAGCAACGCCGCGUGAGUGAUGAAGGUCUUCGGAUCGUAAAACUCUGUUAUUAGGGAAGAACAAAUGUGUAAGUAACUAUGCACGUCUUGACGGUACCUAAUCAGAAAGCCACGGCUAACUACGUGCCAGCAGCCGCGGUAAUACGUAGGUGGCAAGCGUUAUCCGGAAUUAUUGGGCGUAAAGCGCGCGUAGGCGGUUUUUUAAGUCUGAUGUGAAAGCCCACGGCUCAACCGUGGAGGGUCAUUGGAAACUGGAAAACUUGAGUGCAGAAGAGGAAAGUGGAAUUCCAUGUGUAGCGGUGAAAUGCGCAGAGAUAUGGAGGAACACCAGUGGCGAAGGCGACUUUCUGGUCUGUAACUGACGCUGAUGUGCGAAAGCGUGGGGAUCAAACAGGAUUAGAUACCCUGGUAGUCCACGCCGUAAACGAUGAGUGCUAAGUGUUAGGGGGUUUCCGCCCCUUAGUGCUGCAGCUAACGCAUUAAGCACUCCGCCUGGGGAGUACGACCGCAAGGUUGAACUCAAAGGAAUUGACGGGGACCCGCACAGCGGUGGAGCAUGUGGUUUAAUUCGAAGCAACGCGAAGAACCUUACCAAAUCUUGACAUCCUCUGACCCCUCUAGAGAUAGAGUUUUCCCUUU